CGCGACUGCCAGCUGAGGGAGGUACAGCGCUGCCUGGCGGCGGGCGGCCACAAGCUGCGCUGCAGGCGGCGAGUGAUAGAAGUUGGAAAAGAGGUCUCAACAUAAGCCCUGGUAAGAAGAAAGGACUGGCCUGCAUUUACUUCUGAAGAGUGGCUCCCACUUUGUAAAGACCUCGUCGCCUCAAGGUGAGGCUAAGAAGAGCAUUACCAGCGAGGAUGUGAACUUUCUGGUGUGUCGGUACCUCCAGGAAUCAGGUUUCUCCCACUGAGCCUUCACGUCUGGGAUCCAGAGCCACACCAGCCAGUCCAACAUCAGCGUGACAGUAGUGCUGCCGGCUACCCUCAUCUCCAGCCAGCAGAAGGGAAUGCAGUAUGUGGAGGCCGAGAUCAGCAUCAAGGAGGAUGGCACGGUGUUCCACAGCCGCCCCAUAGAGUCCCUGUCCCUGAUUGUCGCUGUGAUGCCCGGCGUGGUGCAGAUGCCACAGCAGACGUUUUCGCGCAGCCGCAGCAGCCGCCGCAGCCGCCGCAGCUGCCACCUGCAACCACAGCCACAACACGAUGGAGCAUGCUCAGAGGCCAUCUGCAGAUGCCAGAGGGCAUUAAUCCUUCUCAGACCUCGAAUUCGCCUCCACUUUGGUAUGUGAAUUUUGCAAGCCCAGAAAGACCAAGAGGUGCUCUGUUGAGUGUUGUGUUCCAGCUGUGGUACCUAAAUACUCAGCAAAGAAAGCCAAAGUUGCAUGGGGUCAACCUUGUCAUCACUGAACAG
rnacentral:lncRNA from 1 species